CAAGGAUGACAACGACGCCAAAGAUGACGAGGCCCCGAGCUCGAGCACGACCACUACGACGCACUGCACAAAGGCCCCUGCUUCCUGCCUGCCCUUCCCUUUGCUUGGAAGAUAGCUCUCUUCAGAUGUUGUUCCUGUCCUUCUCCUUGGUUGUUGAGCGCUGCACUCACUCAUGUAUGCAGGUUGAGUCCAAGCACAAUAGGCGAGAAGACGACGGUGACGCAGAGGAGGACGAGGACCCGCGCUCUAGCCCGACCACGACUAUG